UGAGGGCUUCAUCAUCAAGGCCAAACUCUUGGUUGAAAACCCCUUCACUCGGGACAUUCCCACUAGCACCAUAUCUUACACCUUCAAAAUCAAUGAAAGGGUGAUUGCAACUGGUACCAUACCCCCAAAGUCAUUGAAAGCAAAUGUGAAGACUAAAAUGGAAGUGCCAAUAGAGAUUGCUUACAAAAACAUACCAAACUUGGGGAAAGAAUUAUAUAACAUAUUGGCUGAGACUUAUGU